rnacentral:siRNA from 1 species
UGAAUUGUUCAACCAAUGUCAC